GCUAGUGUAGCUUAAACAAAAGUAUAACACUGAAGAUGUUAAGAUGAGCCCUAGAAAGUUCCACAGGCA
rnacentral:tRNA from 1 species